UACGUAGGGUGCAAGCGUUGUCCGGAAUUAUUGGGCGUAAAGAGCUCGUAGGCGGUCUGUUGCGUCGGCUGUGAAAAACCCGGGGCUCAACUUCGGGCUUGCGGUCGAUACGGGCGGGCUAGAGUUCGGUAGGGGAGACUGGAAUUCCUGGUGUAGCGGUGAAAUGCGCAGAUAUCAGGAGGAACACCGGUGGCGAAGGCGGGUCUCUGGGCCGAUACUGACGCUGAGGAGCGAAAGCGUGGGGAGCGAACAGG
rnacentral:rRNA from 1 species